GCCCUUGUUCUAGGAGGUAUACAGUCUCCUCCUCUGCAAUGUGCAGUGACCUGCUCUGGAUGGAGAGAUGGUGGCCGUAGGAUGGUGGAGGGUGGCAUGGAGGACAAGACAGGCAUACCUCUGAGGAUAAUCACCAACUCUCAAUCUCCCAAUUCCCCAGCUAUUCCAUCAAAAAUUUUUACCGGAGUCCUAACCGAAGAGCUUGGAAGGAUGUGGCCGUGAGUGCAAAGAGGAGAAAAGGACCAGUUUUGAAGAACCAGAAGCAUUCUAUAAAGCAAGCAUGGAGAACCUUACGGUAGAGGACAUCCUAGCUAAGCCCUGGCUCUGAGAUUGUGGUUUAUUCAGAAACUCUUCCAAGUGUUUUAUGUGGAUUAACUCAUUUAAUCCUCACAAGAACACCAUGAGCUUAUUUAGAGAGUAUCCAGCAGAAUUCUAACCAAGAGAGAAGAUCUGCUGGGUGAUGAGUGAGAACAACCUUCUGAGAAGUCACCGUGGCAUCCUGGAGGCUGUGAUGGCCAGAGAGGAG